rnacentral:rRNA from 1 species
GAUGAACGCUGGCGGCGUGCCUAAUACAUGCAAGUCGAGCGAACAGACGAGGAGCUUGCUCCUCUGACGUUAGCGGCGGACGGGUGAGUAACACGUGGAUAACCUACCUAUAAGACUGGGAUAACUUCGGGAAACCGGAGCUAAUACCGGAUAAUAUAUUGAACCGCAUGGUUCAAUAGUGAAAGACGGUUUUGCUGUCACUUAUAGAUGGAUCCGCGCCGCAUUAGCUAGUUGGUAAGGUAACGGCUUACCAAGGCAACGAUGCGUAGCCGACCUGAGAGGGUGAUCGGCCACACUGGAACUGAGACACGGUCCAGACUCCUACGGGAGGCAGCAGUAGGGAAUCUUCCGCAAUGGGCGAAAGCCUGGCGGAGCAACGCCGCGUGAGUGAUGAAGGUCUUCGGAUCGUAAAACUCUGUUAUUAGGGAAGAACAAAUGUGUAAGUAACUAUGCACGUCUUGACGGUACCUAAUCAGAAAGCCACGGCUAACUACGU